AGAAAAUGGCCAAACAAAGGAACUAGAGAAGUAAGCCAAAGAAUCUGGAAAGUUCUCAACAGAUAAAUCUCACAGAAGGAAUUUCAAGAAUGAGAUUAAUCCAUGAACAAUGACAAAAAAGCAACCAACAAAAAACACAAGAGUGGCAGGAGAUGCAGGAAAUCAUUUCAUCUCUUCCAAGGAAUAUCUGGUUUAGAGCUGCCUUGUUCUUUAUAAUCACACUCCUCUGUGUUCCAAGAAAUGGCUGAACGCAAAGGAUGACCCUGGCCUCACAUAUUCCAAGAUAAAAUCCACCUUCACCUUCUUCCAGGACUCAGAUGAGCCCCACCACCACCCAGGUUUUCUCCCUCUAUUUGAGAUCUUCCUCGUUAAUAUGUUCCUCUUAUUGAAAUAGCCUGAAUAAAAAUCAUCUCCUUA
rnacentral:lncRNA from 1 species